AGGAACAUUUUACAACACCUGCAGAAGGCAUAUCUAGGUGUGCAGCACAGGUGAGUGUCUGCUUCCUUCGUCUCGGGAGUUUUAUCCCAACGAACUACAUUGAAAGAGACAUGUCAUCAACACCGGGCAGCCCCAAGCAGCUCCCCCGGGGCAGGUCGACUCACGGCCCGACUAAAACUGCCUGGACGACCCGGUGCGACCACCUGCAGCCUCGGGAUGAUUUAACCAGGCGGACCCAGUGCGGACGGCAAGAGCCAAAACACAAGACUAUUGACACAAUACCGGCAGAGGACAUCGGUCAAGUUCCGAUCAGGAGCACACGUGCUGACCGGUCCUUUAUGUGGCGAGACUUCAAAAUACCAGAGGACAGCCAGGAAGUCAACUUGAAG